rnacentral:rRNA from 1 species
ACGGGGUGCAGCAGGCGCGAAAACUUCGCACUGUGCGAAAGCACGACGAGGGAAUCCCAAGUGCUGGCUCGUAAGAGUCAGCUGUUUCUCUGUCUAAAAAACAGAGAGAGUAAGGGCUGGGUAAGACGGGUGCCAGCCGCCGCGGUAAUACCUGCAGCUCAAGUGGUGGCCGCUAUUAUUGGGCCUAAAACGUCCGUAGCCGGUUCUAUAAAUGCCUGGGUAAAUCGUACGGCUUAACCGUACGAAUUCCGGGUAGACUGUUCAACUUGGGACCGGGAGAGGCUAGAGGUACUCCUGGGGUAGAGGUGAAAUUCUGUAAUCCUAGGGGGACCCCCAGUGGCGAAGGCUGCUUACUAGAACACGUCUGACGGUCAGGGACGAAAGCUGGGGUAGCGAACCGGAUUAGAUACCCGGGUAGUCCCAGCUGUAAACGAUGCAUGCUAGGUGUUGGGUUGGCCACGAGCCACCCCAGUGCCGCAGGGAAGCCGUGAAGCGAGCCACCUGGGAAGUACGGCCGCAAGGCUGAAACUUAAAGGAAUUGGCGGGGGAGCAC